rnacentral:misc_RNA from 1 species
GUUUUCAGAGCGUGGACGCGGAGGCUCGCAGACUAAUGGCACCCGUCCACCGCGAUGUUGCCCGUAUCCAUACAGAUGCGCAUCCUGUGGACGUUGGCCAUGGGCACCGUGUUUGUGGUGCUGUUGCAGUACCAAUCGUCCGGUGCCUGGUCGCAGCAACAGGGCCAGCCAGUGGCCCGCCCCGACCUGGUGGCCGAAGACCUGGUGUCGAUGGCCCUGUCCAAGGUGGUGGUGGACGAGAGCGCUGGCGUGUCUCGGGACCUGCUGAUGGGCAUCUCCCGGCAGAUAGCCCGGUACGUGGUGUACAGCGCCAGUUGCAGCAACGUCGGCGGUGGUGUCUUCGGUAACGGCGUCAGCGGUGGUGGUGGCUAUGGCGGUGGCCCCGGGAUGACCACCGUCGAACCGAGCACCGUUUACGUCAUCACGCCCACGUAUCGGCGGCCCGAACAAGUGGCCGACCUCACCAGGCUGGCGCAAACGCUUAUGCUGGUCAGAGACAUACACUGGCUGGUCGUCGAAGACUCACACGUUAAAUCGCCUCACCUCGGUGUCCUGCUGCAGUCGUUCGGCGUUAGAUACAAUCAUUUAAUCGCGCCGAUGCCGGAAAGAUUUAAGAAAAUCCGCGGUGCCAAGCCCAAAGGUGUGGCCAAUCGAAAUAGAGGUCUAAAAUGGAUCCGACAGAACGCCGUUGAAGGCGUAGUGUAUUUCGCCGAUGAUGAUAACACUUACGACGUCAGACUGUUCAAUGAGAUGCGUAAUACGCAAAAGGUAUCCAUGUGGCCCGUAGGAUUGUGCACAAGGACUGGUUUAAGUACACCAAUCGUGAAGAAUGGCCAAUUAGUUGGCUUUUACGACGGUUGGAUUGCCGGCAGGAAGUUUCCAGUCGACAUGGCUGGGUUUGCGGUUAGCGUCAAAUUCCUACUAGAAAGACCUAAUGCUCAAAUGCCCUACAAGCCAGGUUUCGAAGAAGAUGGUUUUUUAAGAACCUUAGCUCCUUUUGAACCCCAUCAAAUCGAAUUAAAAGCAGAUAAUUGCACCAAAAUAUUAGUGUGGCACACGCAGACGAAGAAGAACGAACCGUCGCUGAAUGUGGACAAGGAAAAAUACAAAAACACAAACAUACUUAGCCUGAAGGAAAUCAUAGUCUGACACACUAGAGCCGUCGUAGCUGAAGGAUUUUCGUUGGAAACAGUUUAUAUAUAUAUAUAUAUAUACCUACGCCAUGUCACGUGUGUCGUUAAACUGAUGUGUCGAACUUACACAAUAUUCAAAACAUUUAGUAACGUGAAAAAAACAGAAAAGUACGACACAUGGCUGAUUGUUAUUUUUCUAAGGCUAUAUUCCAACAAACCUAAAGGAAAAUCGAACUUAAUUUUACAAACCUAUUUAUAUUGAGUUUAAUAUUUUUAGUCGCAAACGUAUUUUUUUUUAAAUAAUAAUUCAAUAUUGCAUAUUGCAGUACAGUCUGGGUACAGUCUGCGUGUCCCGCAACGAUACAUAAUAUUAUUUUUAUACGGUCGCAUUUUGAAAUAGUCCCUGUUUUAACCGUGUUACGACGUUACCUAGGUACUUANGAACGUACAGAAAUCAAAUUUCCAUUUACGUUUGCCUAUAUUACGGUUAAUGCCAGUAUACGAUNUAAAAUAUUUCAUUCAUUUAGAGUCAGGUGGGAGUUGGGGGAUUCCGGAUNAAGGAUAAAGGGAAUAUUCUUUGNNNGAAAUAAACGGUGUCCAACGCGAUCGAGCCACCGAUUAAGAUCAAAAUAAUUACAAUAGGGCCGACGUUUGUGUGUCGUUUCUACAAUCAUGCUAACUACUAAUUAGUUCAUUCCAAGAAGUCGUGAGUGUUAUAAAAACUUACACUAAAACGAAAUAGUUACGACAACGUUAAUAAACAAUAAUCGCGUUUGUUGACUUCUGGACUAUUGAUAGAAUACAAAAACUGCUUGCAUUAUUUCACUGGNGGUGCAGUGUAUCAUGUUCAGUAAAAAGGCACCUACUUAACUGACUGAAGUAAUGUAUACUUGUAAUGGCUUAGUAUUCAGGUCAUAAUUAAUAGUGGACGUUUGGACUUAGUGUAUAAUGUUAUAUAAAUGAUUUAUACAAUUUGCCAAAUACCUCUGUGUUAUAUACUAUAUGUAUAAAUUAUAUUACCUACACGAUUCCUGAUUGUUGGCCAUAAUUAUUAGUUUGGAAGUUAAUCAAAAUAUUUUUAAUCUAUCAAUAUCAAUUAUUCGAAAUAANUUUUAACAUGUAAUGAUUUACAUUAUUGUAGAAAAUAUUUAUCAAUCAAUUUUCCUAUACGCAAUUGUAGGUACUUACCUUAAGUACUUAUGGAAAAUACAUGUAACAAAUGUAUUGACUUUAAAAAUUUGAGUCGUUGAAUGAGUGAUGGUUAAAAAUAUUUAAGUAGGUGUCUAUAACAGCGGUUCCCAACCUUUUUAGCCGGCGGUNCUNUUUUGUUUGUACACAUUUUGUUAGUUGCCCUGCUGUGAAUAUUACGAGGAACGUGAUAAAAAUAAACACUUGUUUUCAUUCAUAGCUGAUUUAAAUAAUUUUAUUGAACAUGUUAUUA